rnacentral:rRNA from 1 species
GUCGAGCGGUAGCACAGAGAGCUUGCUCUCGGGUGACGAGCGGCGGACGGGUGAGUAAUGUCUGGGAAACUGCCUGAUGGAGGGGGAUAACUACUGGAAACGGUAGCUAAUACCGCAUAAUGUCGCAAGACCAAAGUGGGGGACCUUCGGGCCUCAUGCCAUCAGAUGUGCCCAGAUGGGAUUAGCUAGUAGGUGGGGUAACGGCUCACCUAGGCGACGAUCCCUAGCUGGUCUGAGAGGAUGACCAGCCACACUGGAACUGAGACACGGUCCAGACUCCUACGGGAGGCAGCAGUGGGGAAUAUUGCACAAUGGGCGCAAGCCUGAUGCAGCCAUGCCGCGUGUGUGAAGAAGGCCUUCGGGUUGUAAAGCACUUUCAGCGGGGAGGAAGGCGUUAAGGUUAAUAACCUUGGCGAUUGACGUUACCCGCAGAAGAAGCACCGGCUAACUCCGUGCCAGCAGCCGCGGUAAUACGGAGGGUGCAAGCGUUAAUCGGAAUUACUGGGCGUAAAGCGCACGCAGGCGGUCUGUCAAGUCGGAUGUGAAAUCCCCGGGCUCAACCUGGGAACUGCAUUCGAAACUGGCAGGCUAGAGUCUUGUAGAGGGGGGUAGAAUUCCAGGUGUAGCGGUGAAAUGCGUAGAGAUCUGGAGGAAUACCGGUGGCGAAGGCGGCCCCCUGGACAAAGACUGACGCUCAGGUGCGAAAGCGUGGGGAGCAAACAGGAUUAGAUACCCUGGUAGUCCACGCCGUAAACGAUGUCGAUUUGGAGGUUGUGCCCUUGAGGCGUGGCUUCCGGAGCUAACGCGUUAAAUCGACCGCCUGGAGAGUACGGCCGCAAGGUUAAAACUCAAAUGAAUUGACGGGCGCCCGCACAAGCGGUGGAGCAUGUGGUUUAAUUCGAUGCAACGCGAAGAACCUUACCUGGUCUUGACAUCCACAGAACUUUCCAGAGAUGGAUUGGUGCCUUCGGGAACUGUGAGACAGGUGCUGCAUGGCUGUCGUCAGCUCGUGUUGUGAAAUGUUGGGUUAAGUCCCGCAACGAGCGCACCCUUAUCCUUUGUUGCCAGCGGUUCGGCCGGGAACUCAAAGGAGACUGCCAGUGAUAAACUGGAGGAAGGGGGGG